GGUUGUAUAGUGUAGUGGUCAUCACAUCGGAUUCUGAUGCUUCAGUGCGUUCCGGGGACCCCUGUUCGAUCCAGGGUACGACCU
rnacentral:tRNA from 1 species